rnacentral:rRNA from 1 species
CACGUGAGGGUGCGAGCGUUGUCCGGAAUUAUUGGGCGUAAAGAGCUCGUAGGCGGUGUGUCGCGUCGGCCGUGAAAACCUGCAGCUUAACUGUGGGCGUGCGGUCGAUACGGGCAUCACUGGAGUUCGGCAGGGGAGACUGGAAUUCCUGGAUGUAGCGGUGAAAUGCGCAGAUAUCAGGAGGAACACCGGUGGCGAAGGCGGGUCUCUGGGCCGAUACUGACGCUGGAGGAGCGAAAGCGUGGGGAGCGAACAGG